AUAAGAACCAUCAAAGAAGAAGAUAUCUGAAGUUACAGUUCCAAAACAUAUUUACGUAAAGGAGAUUAAACAGCCCUUGUAGAUGAAAACGAACCAGGUUUAGUUUUAAAAAAAAAAAUUGCAUUUGGGAUAUGGUCCCCAAAACUUAGCGAGCUGCUGAUGGCUGUUUCAUCAGGAGAUCGACAGCUUCUACUGCAGGUCAGCUUCCUAAAUCAGAAACCCGGUCUUCACAGAGAUUUGAUGCACUUGCUGUUUAAACUCGGUUUUUUCCAGGAGUUGCCAUUUGAAAGCCAAGUCAUUUCAUUGCUUAGCCUAGCAGGUGCAGGUAGUAUUUCAGAAGGCAAGCGGUUUGCUCAGUCAGUCAGCCAAAGCGCGGCUGGUUCCCAAAUUAGCUGUCUGAGCGGGAAGGAGUGAAGGUGUGCGAGUUCGCCAAAAGUGCACAAGACUUUUGUGCCCAGGGCUUGAUUUCAGGCUUUCAAACGAUAUAAUUAAAUCGUUUUCUUCUGAAGUUUGCCAUCGGCCUUUGACACCGCCCCCAUGGGCUUGGCUAGCCCUGCAGCAGCCAGUGCAGCAGAGCUCCGCCUCUAGACUUUAAAUGACGACAGCCCAGGGACCAAGGCAGGCUCUGCCUCACUCUACCCAAACUGUUAAGCAAGCUCUGUUGUUCUGAACUUGAUUAAGACUGAAAAAAAUUGUCACGGAGAAAGCGCUUUAGACGCUGCUUUUAAAUACUGUUGCUAUACAAAUCCUCCUGCUGGGAGUUGUGUUUGUGCCAUGGAACCAAAUGUGUGGUCUGGGCUUGUGAGAGAGACUAGGGAUGCUUCGCGAGGGCAGUCUUGGCGCAUGCCUUGCUUCUGGCCAUUGAGAGAGUGUUCCCCUGGUGAAGGCUGUGCUUUCUGUGGGGAAGCUCUUCCUUGGCAGUCUUGGCGCAUGCCUUGCUUCUGGCCAUUGAGAGAGUGUUCCCCUGGUGAAGGCUGUGCUUUCUGUGGGGAAGCUCUUCCUUGGCAGGUGGCAGGCUUGGGGGGAUCGCCCUGGAACCCUGAUUCUGGCAGAGGGCAGUGCAAGCCUGGAAGCUGCUCCCCUGCCUUCAGUCCCGGAAGUCAGAAACCCGAGGCUCUGGUGAAAGAGGAAGACCUGCCUGAAGCACCAGCAUGCUGGCUCGUUCUGCAGCAGCCCCCCUGUCUCUUGGACCUCUUGGAUCCCCAGCCGCGUGCUCCACAGCAGGAAGCCCAGACCUCCGACCCAGAGCGCCUAAGCCAGGACGAUCCGCCUGUAGCCUCCAACUCUGUUUGGAGGGGCCUUCUGCAAUGGAUUGGUUCUUGCCCAGUGUUCUCCUUCCCACCUGCCUGCUGUCCUUCAGGCUUUGGCACCAUGUGCCUUUGGGCUACUGCUCCCUGCAAGCAAGCAUGCUUCCUUUGUCAAUGCAGCAAGCUUCAAAAUAAAAAUGUACUCACAACUGCCUAACGUUCCUGGUCAAUUGUGAAGUUCUUUUAUGCUUAAAAGUGUCCUUUACUGACCUUUACUGGGUGCUCUGGUGCACACCCUUUCUCCCAGCACUCCACCUGCAGAGGGAGGAGGAGGCUGGCUGUAAAGUCCAAGCCAGGCCCUCCAGCACAGCCAGUAUCAGGCAUGACACAUCCACCCAGGGAGACAGCGUGGUAAACAUAUUUUUAAAAUCGUGAUAUAUGGGGCUGGAGAGAUGUCUCAGUGGUGAAGACCACUGUCUGUUCUUCCAGAGCACUUGGGCUCAGUUGCAAAUAGCCACAAGGCAGUUCAUAAUUGUGUGCAACUCCAGUUCCAGGAGAUGAAAAAGAAAUGAAAGGAAAUAACAUACCGAAGUGAAUUGAUAUGCCAUGAAAUAAAGAAAAUAACUGAUAAAAGGAUGAUGACA
rnacentral:lncRNA from 1 species